rnacentral:rRNA from 1 species
AAGUGCGAAUGCUGACAUAAGUAACGAUAAAGCGGGUGAAAAGCCCGCUCGCCGGAAGACCAAGGGUUCCUGUCCAACGUUAAUCGGGGCAGGGUGAGUCGACCCCUAAGGCGAGGCCGAAAGGCGUAGUCGAUGGGAAACAGGUUAAUAUUCCUGUACUUGGUGUUACUGCGAAGGGGGGACGGAGAAGGCUAUGUUGGCCGGGCGACGGUUGUCCCGGUUUAAGCGUGUAGGCUGGUUUUCCAGGCAAAUCCGGAAAAUCAAGGCUGAGGCGUGAUGACGAGGCACUACGGUGCUGAAGCAACAAAUGCCCUGCUUCCAGGAAAAGCCUCUAAGCAUCAGGUAACAUCAAAUCGUACCCCAAACCGACACAGGUGGUCAGGUAGAGAAUACCAAGGCGCUUGAGAGAACUCGGGUGAAGGAACUAGGCAAAAUGGUGCCGUAACUUCGGGAGAAGGCACGC